AGUUGCAGAAAGAGGGUGCAAUGAGAGCAGUGUCAUUUCGUUCACUGAAGCAGCCAUCUCGUCGCUCGGCAAAGUUUUGCUGAUGAUUGUGGCAUCGCGAUGAAAGGUGGCAAGCCAGCGUUUGACGAUAUUGAAUUAGCCGUUACUUUUGAUGAUGGAAGAGCCUCAGCUUCGACCAUACUAACUGAUGGAAUUGCGGCGAUAAUAGAGACGAACAAAUACAAAGUGCUACGUAUUAUUAUUAUCAAGAUUUAAUCAAGUAUUAAUUCUCAAAGA